rnacentral:rRNA from 1 species
AUACUUUAGUAUAUUGGGUAGGGGAGCGUUCUGUAAGCGGUUGAAGGUGUGUGGUAACGCAUGCUGGACGUAUCAGAAGUGCGAAUGCUGACAUGAGUAACGAUAAAGGGGGUGAAAAACCUCCUCGCCGGAAGACCAAGGGUUCCUGUCCAACGUUAAUCGGGGCAGGGUAAGUCGACCCCUAAGGCGAGGCCGAAAGGCGUAGUCGAUGGGAAACGGGUUAAUAUUCCCGUACUUCUUACAAUUGCGAUGGGGGGACGGAGAAGGCUAGGUGGGCCUGGCGACGGUUGUCCAGGUUCAAGUGCGUAGGCUUAAGAGUUAGGUAAAUCCGGCUCUUUUUAAGGCUGAGACACGACGUCGAGCACCUACGGGUGUGAAGUCAUUGAUGCCAUGCUUCCAGGAAAAGCCUCUAAGCUUCAGAUUGUAAGGAAUCGUACCCCAAACCGACACAGGUGGUCGGGUAGAGAAUACCAAGGCGCUUGAGAGAACUCGGGUGAAGGAACUAGGCAAAAUGGUACCGUAACUUCGGGAGAAGGUACGCUCUCGACGGUGAAGUCCCUCGCGGAUGGAGCUAUUGAGAGUCGCAGAUACCAGGUGGCUGCAACUGUUUAUUAAAAACACAGCACUGUGCAA